rnacentral:rRNA from 1 species
GAUGAACGCUGGCGGCGUGCCUAAUACAUGCAAGUCGUGCGAACGGACGAGAAGCUUGCUUCUCUGAUGUUAGCGGCGGACGGGUGAGUAACACGUGGAUAACCUACCUAUAAGACUGGGAUAACUUCGGGAAACCGGAGCUAAUACCGGAUAAUAUUUUGAACCGCAUGGUUCAAAAGUAAAAGACGGUCUUGCUGUCACUUAUAGAUGGAUCCGCGCUGCAUUAGCUAGUUGGUAAGGUAACGGCUUACCAAGGCAACGAUGCAUAGCCGACCUGAGAGGGUGAUCGGCCACACUGGAACUGAGACACGGUCCAGACUCCUACGGGAGGCAGCAGUAGGGAAUCUUCCGCAAUGGGCGAAAGCCUGACGGAGCAACGCCGCGUGAGUGAUGAAGGUCUUCGGAUCGUAAAACUCUGUUAUUAGGGAAGAACAUAUGUGUAAGUAACUGUGCUCAUCUUGACGGUACCUAAUCAGAAAGCCACGGCUAACUACGUG